rnacentral:rRNA from 1 species
CCGGCCGCCCCCGGAGCUCGCAAAGUUCGGAUCCGCAAGGACCGGGCCAGCGGGACGUCCGCGUGGCAGGGUGCACUUUCUCCGCGGUCGAGUGCUACGACCGGUUUCGCGGCGGUCAGAAGCCCGGCGGAAAGGUAGCGCCGCCCCUCGGGGUGUCGUGUUAUAGGCCGCCGCGGUGGACUCGCCGCGAGACCGAGGACGCUUGCCGCGCCGAGCGGUCCCGGGCCGUCUUGGGUGGUUCGACCUCGGCUGCACUGCUCCGCAGAGCACCGUAACCGCCGCCCUAGCACGGGUCCGGAGACUGCCGGCGCCUCGGGUCAGUAGCG